rnacentral:rRNA from 1 species
AUUGAACGCUGGCGGCAUGCUUUACACAUGCAAGUCGAACGGUAACAGGUUAAGCUGACGAGUGGCGAACGGGUGAGUAAUGCAUCGGAACGUGCCCGAUCGUGGGGGAUAACGCAGCGAAAGCUGCGCUAAUACCGCAUACGAUCUGAGGAUGAAAGCGGGGGACCGUAAGGACUCGCGCGAUCGGAGCGGCCGAUGUCAGAUUAGGUAGUUGGUGGGGUAAAGGCCCACCAAACCGACGAUCUGUAGCUGGUCUGAGAGGACGACCAGCCACACUGGGACUGAGACACGGCCCAGACUCCUACGGGAGGCAGCAGUGGGGAAUUUUGGACAAUGGGCGAAAGCCUGAUCCAGCAAUGCCGCGUGCAGGAAGAAGGCCUUCGGGUUGUAAACUGCUUUUGUACGGAGCGAAAAGGUCCUUUCUAAUACAAGGGGCUCAUGACGGUACCGUAAGAAUAAGCACCGGCUAACUACGUGCCAGCCGCCGCGGUAA